AUGUCCAUUUCCGGUUAGCGCGCAUCCCACCGCUACCGCCAAACUCAUUCAAACGCAAGAGGUCAAAGUCGUGCACCAGGCCCCAGUGCUCCCACCGCAGGCUGACUCCAGCGUUGAUUUCGGUGGUGUGAGACCCUAAAUACUAAAACCAACAAACCAACGCAGAA